ACGAACGCUGGCGGCGUGCUUAACACAUGCAAGUCGAACGGUGAACUCCGCUUGCGGGGGGAUCAGUGGCGAACGGGUGAGUAACACGUGGGCAACCUGCCCUCAGCUCUGGGAUAACUCCAAGAAAUUGGGGCUAAUACUGGAUAUGACUGCUGACCGCAUGGUCUGGUGGUGGAAAGAUUUAUCGGCUGGGGAUGGGCCCGCGGCCUAUCAGCUUGUUGGUGGGGUAGUGGCCUACCAAGGCGACGACGGGUAGCCGGCCUGAGAGGGUGACCGGCCACACUGGGACUGAGACACGGACCAGACUCCUCCGGGAGGCAGCAG
rnacentral:rRNA from 1 species